GUGGUGCUGAGCGGUUUGAACCUAAGUCUUUGAUUCUUAAUCUGCUUCAUGGAUUGCAAAUCCGGUUAGACCAGUUCGACUCUGGUUCGCGCCUCCA
rnacentral:tRNA from 1 species